CUGAUGGCCAGGGGCCGCUCCCAGCCACCCUCGGACCCUUGGGGAAGGUCCUGUGCCUCCUCAGGAGCAGGAAGACCUGGGAGAGGGAGGCAAAGUCUUGCAGGGCCUAGACUCUGCUGCUGAUUUUAAGUUGGGAUAUUUUUUCUGCCAACUUUUGACCCCAAAGUCUGCAUCAUUCUGCCCUAAUGAUGAGGGUGAGUAUCAGUAUGAAAACGCUGAUGAAGAGGAAGAGGAUGGAAAUGAAAAACCUGAAGAAGGACUCGAAAUGGAUGUGGUCUCAGCAAAGGGCAGCUCUGGAUAAUACAGUGGGAAGGCAUAGAAAGAAGCAGACAGCAAAAGAAAAGAUGAAUAUUUUCUUCAUGGAUAUUCUUGUUUUUAUUAGCCUAAAAUACUAAUUUUGCUUCAAAGUUUCAACACCCCAAAAU